rnacentral:miRNA from 1 species
CCUUGGAAAUGGAGUUCCAGGUGGCUAUGAGCCACCAUACGGAUGCAGGGAAUUGAACCUGGCUCUUCUGAGAGAGCAUCAAGUGCUCAUCUCUCCAGCUCC